GCGGAGGAAAAGAAACCAACAGGGAUUACCUCAGUAACGGCGAGUGAAGCGGUAACAGCUCAAAUUUGAAAUCUGGCUCUUUUAGGGUCCGAGUUGUAAUUUGUAGAAGAUGCUUUGGGCGUGGCUCCGGUCUAAGUUCCUUGGAACAGGACGUCACAGAGGGUGAGAAUCCCGUACGUGACUGGUUGCCUUCGUCCGUGUAAAGCUCUUUCGACGAGUCGAGUUGUUUGGGAAUGCAGCUCAAAAUGGGUGGUAUAUUUCAUCUAAAGCUAAAUAUUGGCCAGAGACCGAUAGCGCACAAGUAGAGUGAUCGAAAGAUGAAAAGCACUUUGGAAAGAGAGUUAAACAGUACGUGAAAUUGUUGAAAGGGAAGCGCUUGCAACCAGACUUGCACGUAGUUGAUCAUCCGAGGUUUUCCCCGGUGCACUCGAUUGCGUUCAGGCCAGCAUCGGUUUGGGUGGUUGGAUAAAGGCCUUGGGAAUGUAGCUCCUCUCGGGGAGUGUUAUAGCCCUCGGUGCAAUGCAGCCUAUCCGGACCGAGGACCGCGCUUCGGCUAGGAUGCUGGCGUAAUGGUUGUAAGCGACCCGUCUU
rnacentral:rRNA from 1 species